UUAUUUUCUUUCUUACGAAACCCAACUUUAUUGGCCUGGGCAUUUAGGGAGGGGGUGCUGCCGAAAUUUUUUAGGGUUGACUUAGUUUUUGUGGGGGAGGGAGAUAGAAGGAGGUCCUGUACUGUAGUGUUUUGAAAUGAAAUAUUCCAGACCUGCCUAUUUGUCUGACAGAAUUUGAAUGAGAUUUUAAAUGUACACAUCUUGUUUCUUUAUAAGUACGCACAGUCAAUACCAGAUUUGCAUGUAUUGACUUAUUCCAAACUUAAGCUCAAUUUUUUUGCAAAUUUUAGGUUAUAAUCUUUGUUGCAAAAAAUAUCUGAAUAAGACUGC
rnacentral:lncRNA from 1 species